rnacentral:lncRNA from 1 species
AACUUACAUAUACUAAUAAUUUAAUAUUUCAAAAGAAAUCCAGAUUCUGAAACAAAUCAUAAUACAUGUUAAAUAACAUUAUAUGCCACAAGAAUGAAUUACACAUUAUAUUUGAAGAAUUUAGCCAUCUGGUGACUGAUACUAAUACUAAGAUCCCUACCAUGGCCACGGCGAGGUUGGCUCUAGUAAGUUGGAGCUCGAAUAAAGUUUGACUGUAUUUAGCAGAACUAAGCGGUUCAUUUGUACGGUUGCAACAUUGGAAGAAUUGACAAAUAGUAAUCUCAACGACGCUGUAAAUUUCGAAUCAACACCACGCCAACUUUGUGUGCUGUAAUAUAACACUGGAUUACCUUUUCUUUGCUUUCCGUUCUAGCUCGAAGCUGUGAGAAUCGUGACACACAGGCUCACAGCAGAGGAUUAGAAUUAAGAUAGUUCAUAUACAGGAGGUGUGUAGAUUCUACAAGAUUG